rnacentral:tRNA from 1 species
GACAAAGUAAGCUAGUGGUAAAGCUUUUGGAUUCAUAUUUCAAAAAUGGAAGGAUAAAUACCUCUCUUUGUUU